ensembl:rRNA 5S_rRNA 5S ribosomal RNA
GCCUGCGGCUAUGUCACCUUAGGCUGUCAUCUCAUCAGGCUACACAAAUUAAAUAGGGUCAGACUGGUCCACUACUUGGAUGGGAGACAGUCAAGAGAAAGCAAAGUGCUCCAGAUG